AAGAGAGCUAUCCGUCGAC
rnacentral:miRNA from 1 species